rnacentral:rRNA from 1 species
GGCGGACGGGUGAGUAAUGCUUGGGAACUUGCCUUUGCGAGGGGGAUAACAGUUGGAAACGACUGCUAAUACCGCAUAAUGUCUACGGACCGAAGGGGGCUUUUAGCUCUCGCGUGAAGAGAGGCCCAAGUGAGAUUAGCUAGUUGGUGAGGUAAAGGCUCACCAAGGCGACGAUCUCUAGCUGUUCUGAGAGGAAGAUCAGCCACACUGGGACUGAGACACGGCCCAGACUCCUACGGGAGGCAGCAGUGGGGAAUAUUGCACAAUGGGGGAAACCCUGAUGCAGCCAUGCCGCGUGUGUGAAGAAGGCCUUCGGGUUGUAAAGCACUUUCAGUUGUGAGGAAAGGUUGGUAGUUAAUACCUGCCAGCUGUGACGUUAACAACAGAAGAAGCACCGGCUAACUCCGUGCCAGCAGCCGCGGUAAUACGGAGGGUGCGAGCGUUAAUCGGAAUUUACUGGGCGUAAAGCGCACGCAGGCGGUUUGUUAAGCUAGAUGUGAAAGCCCCGGGCUCAACCUGGGAUGGUCAUUUAGAACUGGCAGACUAGAGUCUUGGA